rnacentral:rRNA from 1 species
UGGUGACCAGCGGAGGGAUCAUUACAGAGUGUAAAAACUCCCUAAACCAUUGUGAACCUACCUGUAUGUUGCUUCGGUGGGGUGGCCUCUCCGGAGGUCCUCAGGCUGCAAGGCACCCCGCCGGAGGUUUUAUCAAACUCUUUUUGUUUUCGACCUGUCUUCUGAGUACACAAACAAAAUAAUCAAAACUUUCAACAACGGAUCUCUUGGCUCUAGCAUCGAUGAAGAACGCAGCGAAAUGCGAUAAGUAAUGCGAAUUGCAGAAUUCCGCGAGUCAUCGAAUCUUUGAACGCACAUUGCGCCUGCCAGUAUUCUGGCAGGCAUGCCUGUCCGAGCGUCAUUUCAACCCCCAGGCCUUCGUCAGCCUGUCGUUGGGGCCUUCAGGAGGCCGGCCCACCAAGGGCCGACCCUGAGCCCUGAAAAGCAGUGGCGGGCUCGCCAUGAACACCGAGCGCAGUAAUUCUCUCUCGCUCGGGGGUCCAGGCGGGUGCCAGCCGUGAAAAAAAAACGCAGAACCUCAGUUCUGAAACACAGUGGUUUGACCUCGGAUCAGGUAGGAAUACCCGCUGAACUUAAGCAUAUCAAUAAGCGGAGGAAAAGAAACCAACAGGGAUUGCCCCAGUAACGGCGAGUGAAGCGGCAACAGCUCAAAUUUGAAAUCUGGUCCCCAGGGCCCGAGUUGUAAUUUGUAGAGGAUGCUUUUGGCGCGGUGCCUUCUGAGUUCCCUGGAACGGGACGCCACAGAGGGUGAGAGCCCCGUAUAGUCGGA